rnacentral:rRNA from 1 species
GACGAACGCUGGCGGCGUGCUUAACACAUGCAAGUCGAACGAUGAACCCGGAGCUUGCUCUGGGGGAUUAGUGGCGAACGGGUGAGUAACACGUGAGUAACCUGCCCUGGACUCUGGGAUAAGCGUUGGAAACGACGUCUAAUACCGGAUAGGACCUUGGAUCGCAUGAUCUGGGGUGGAAAGUUUUUCCGGUCUGGGAUGGACUCGCGGCCUAUCAGCUUGUUGGUGAGGUAAUGGCUCACCAAGGCGUCGACGGGUAGCCGGCCUGAGAGGGUGACCGGCCACACUGGGACUGAGACACGGCCCAGACUCCUACGGGAGGCAGCAGUGGGGAAUAUUGCACAAUGGGCGAAAGCCUGAUGCAGCAACGCCGCGUGCGGGAUGACGGCCUUCGGGUUGUAAACCGCUUUUAGUAGGGAAGAAGGGCUUCGGCUUGACGGUACCUGCAGAAAAAGGACCGGCUAACUACGUG